rnacentral:rRNA from 1 species
UACGUAGGGUGCGAGCGUUAAUCGGAAUUACUGGGCGUAAAGCGUGCGUAGGCGGUUCGUUAAGUUCGUUGUGAAAGCCCCGGGCUCAACCUGGGAAUGGCAAUGGAAACUGGCGGGCUGGAGUAUGGCAGAGGGGGGUGGAAUUCCGCGUGUAGCAGUGAAAUGCGUAGAGAUGCGGAGGAACACCGAUGGCGAAGGCAAUCCCCUGGACCUGUACUGACGCUCAUGCACGAAAGCGUGGGGAGCAAACAGG